GAUGCCGAGUCAAGACGCUAAACGACAGGAUCUACUAGGCUGAGGCUGCCGGGCUGAGAUCAAGGGCGCGCAGGUCGACGAGAGGACAAUGGAACGGCG
rnacentral:sRNA from 1 species